ACGAACGCUGGCGGCGUGCUUCACACCUGCCAGUCGAACGGAAAGGCCCUGCUUUUGUGGGGUGCUCGAGUGGCGAACGGGUGAGUAACACGUGAGUCACCUGCCCUUGACUUUGGGAUAACUUCAGGAAACUGGGGCUAAUACCGGAUAGGAGCUCCUGCUGCUUGUUGGGGGUUGGAAAGUUUCGGCGUUUGGGGAUGGACUCGCGGCUUAUCAGCUUGUUGGUGGGGUAGUGGCUUACCAAGGCUUUGACGGGUAGCCGGCCUGGGAGGGUGACCGGCGACAUUGGGACUGAGAGACGGCGCAGACUGGUACGGGAGGCAGCAGUGGGGAAUAUGGCACAAUGGGCGGAAGCCUGAUGCAGCAACGCCGCGUGCGGGAUGACGGCUUGCGGGUUGUAAACCGCUUUCGCCUGUGACGAAGCGGGAGUGACGGUAAUGGGUAAAGAAGCACCGGCUAACUACGUG
rnacentral:rRNA from 1 species